GCUUCCUGGUAGAGAUUGCCUCAGCAUUUCCCAGUGAAAGCAUCCAUAUUGGUCACCUACUCAUACAAUGAGUGUCUUUUCAUGGCAGUCAUGCCCCUGGAAGAAGAGAACAAAUAGGUCUUCUAUACAAACAUGAGCAAAAAUGAUUUGUUUUACAAAGCUCCAGUUCAAAUAUCAGCCCUAUAUAAAAUCAUAAGAUGCCCACAUGUGAGAAUUCAUUUUGAUCUGAGUUUGACUCAAAAUAUUUUGAAGACAAAAGGGUUUCUGCAGGGUUUAUUCCCACAGUAAAAGAUUCACUGAUUCUCAAGUAUAGUGCUGUGAACUGCACGUGUCAUUUCAGGGAACCACAAGGCAACAGGUAGGAAAAAAAUCCUAAUGGAAACAGGUUCUUAGACAUCAAUUGAUUUCCCCAAAGGAUAGAUAAAGAUGCCUCAUCACUUUGGGUCAUUUCAAACUCAGCUGGAACAGUACCAUAUAUCAUCUUUUACUUCAGGUUAUUUUUCUGCUUCAGCUUCCAUGAAUUUUAAGUAAAGUUCCUGUUGGGAUAGCAGGCAGAGAAAUUAUAUACACAGUGUACCAUAGCCUAUUGUCUUUCCCCUGCUAUCAGAGCACCAGGAUUUUGGAACUGUUGUUUGUGUUGUGGCCUUAUCAGAACAUCAGGCUGAUCUUGAUGUCUGGGCUCAUUGACAGGUCUGUCUUUAAAAUAAUUUUGGAGGGGGGUAGGGGGUGAUUACUAGGCUGCUCACAAGUAGGUACAGGGUGGCAUAGCAACUUUAGUGGGAAAAGGUGCUAGUGGGUGAGGGCACUCAACCUAUUUCAUAUUAUUGUGAUGAAAACAACAGAGAGACUAAGAGUAAAUAUGUAAAGGGAAUUAAGGAGGUAUCCUCCAAGAAUGUGACAAGCUGCAAGUGCCUCUACACCACUGCAUACACCUUGGGAAACAAAAAGGAGGAGCUGGAAACCACCAUGCUACUAGAAGACCAUGAUGUAGUUGCUGUCACCUAAAUCUGAUGGGGUGAUUCCAUGAAUGGAAUGUGGCAUUGACAGCUACAAACCGUUCAGAAGUGACAGGCGAGCAAGGAAGGAAGGGAGAAGGCUUUGCCCUCUAUAUUGAGGAAAGAAAUAGAGUGUGGAGAGCUGUCCCUGAAGAAUGUACAAGAGCAAGUUGAAAGCCUACAGAUGAGAGAGUCCAAGGCAACUCUGAGAUCACACAGGGUAGAGAAGCUCAACUCAUGUAACCCUCUAAAUGGAUCUAAGCAGCUGUUCUGCCAAGCAAGCUCAGAUGAUGAGAACAGAAACUGAAUCAUUCUGGCAUUCUGAGGUCACAGCUUUUGUGAUCCCACCAAGUUUCAGAUGAAGAGACCCAGAAGAACAGAACUGCAGGAUCAGACUGAAGAUUCAUCAAGCUGAUUAUCUGACUUCUGGCAGUAGCAUAAGCAGAUAAGCAGCUUGGUAUUAUAUUACAUGGAAGACAGGGAGAUGAUAUGGGAGAACCAUCAUGGCUUCACCAAGGGGAAAUCCUGUUUGACCAAUAUAUUGGCCUUUUUAUCAUGGCUUCACUGCAUCAAUGAAUAAGGACAGAGCCACUGAUGUCACCUAUUUGGACUUCAGUAAGGUCUUUGACACAGUAUCCACAAUAUCCUUCUCUCCAAAUUUGAAAGAUAUAGAUCUGAUGGAUGGACUGUUUAAUGGACAAAGAACUGGAUCAAGUCCAUGUCUGGAUGGAGAUCAGUGAUGAAUGGUGUCCUACAUGGGUCAGUGUUAGGACCAAUACUCUUUGAUAUCUUCAUCAUUGACAUUGAUAAUGGAGUCAAGUAUACCCUCAGCAAGUUUGCUGAUGAUAACCAGCUGUGUAAUUGAAACACCAGAGGGGUGGGAUGCCAUCCAGGGGGAUCUAGACAGACUUGAGCAGUAGGCCCAGAUGAAUGUCACAAGGUUCAACAAAUCCAAAUGCAAGACCUUUCACCUGAGUCGAGGAGACUCUCACUACCAAUAUAAGCUGGGUGAUGGAAGGAUUGAGUGCAGCCCUGCCAAAACAGAUCUGAGGGUGCUGGUGAAUAGAAAGUUGGACAUGAGCCGGCAGUGUGCCUUUGCAGCCCAGAACACCAACCAUAUCCUGGGCUGCAUCAAAAGAAGCGUGGCCAGCAGGUCGACGGAGGUGAUCCAACUCCUCUACUCUGCACUAGGGAAGCCUCACCUGGAGUACUGAGUCCAGAUGCAGAGUCCUCAGUACUGGACGGAUAUGGACUUGUUGGAGGAGGAGGAAUACAAAAAUGACAUGGCGCACAUGUGUUUAAAGAAUCAUAAGAGAAUGUGAUUUUCCACAGCAGUGUAAUUAUAUUUGCCUAUUUAGAGAUGAAGAGAGACCACACACACACACACACACACACAGAGAGAGAGAGAGAGAAACAAACUCUUCUGAAAAUAGAGACAUGUAGAGACAUAUUAGAUAGUACAUAUUUCUCUGCAAUGCUCGCUUUGUGCUCUGACUUCUUAAGAAAAACUUGCUUUAAAGACCUCAUCUGCCAUGCACAUCCAGUCCUUCCAAAUUUAUAUUUAGAGAAAUGAUAAAUACCUACCUUGUGGCAAGUACUAUCAUAGUUUGUAUGAUGUGUUUGUGUUCCAAAGCAAAAUGCUCACCUGCAAGCUUCCAACAACUUAACGGUAUUAUUUUUCUUGAGGUCUUAAUCAUUUUGAUGUUCAACCUACUAGGUGAUAGAAGUCGGUCAUACUUGGCAUGGGCAUCUCCUUUUGUGCAUGUGUGAUAAUAUAUAUUUGCAUUUUUUUGUUGGAAAAGAAAGUUUCCGUGUGAAUGUACUUCCAUUCUUCAUCACAUUUUGCAAGACUUAUACAAAACCUUGACAUUUUGCAUCAAAAAAUAAAAGCAAUAAUAAUAAUAAUAAUAAUAAAGAACAAUUUUAAGAUGAGUUCAUGCCUGGAAUGUUUCAGGAAAAAAAAUUACAGAUUAUGUUUCAAAAGGGAGUGAUGAAUAAUGGAAAGUAUGAACUGCGAAGUUCUAUUUUAUCAGUUGUAUUUAGGUUAACCACAUUUAAUUUUUAAAGCUCAUAAAUCCUUAAGAAAUGUUAAUCACAUGAUGGACUGAUUUGUAGAUUUACAUAAUGUCCUGAAGGAGCCAUGGACUGUUGCAUUCUGUGGUGACUCAUGAACAUCUCUGGUUCAGGCUGCCAGAGAAAGGAGGCUGAAUAGCGGGAUUUUGUAUGAACUGUGAUUGAAUUUCCAGCAGAGUUAUCCUCAGGCCACUCCAUAGCAUUUUCAACUCACUAAGAUAUUACAACUAAAAGGAGGGUGAAAAAGAGACCUUUAAAUUUUGAUCAAAACAUCGUUCUCUUUCAUUCUGUUAAAACUGAAAAUUAUGCAGUACUUGAAAAAAAUACCUUACAUAUUUGAAUUAGUUGCCCACUAUAUUCAAGUCAGUUAUUGCAACAAAUGCAUGCAAAAACAUUCAGAUAAUAAUUAUUCCAACAAACACAUACAAAAAGUUUUCAGGUGGUAUGUUUUUUUAUCAAUAUAAAUACUACUACUGCUUCUUAAUGUAUUUCUGAACUCAUGUACCAACAACUUUACUCAUAACUCUUGUUCUCUAAACAUCAGUGAACAUAUAUACAUGCUACGUGUUCAUCAUAGAAUGACUGAGGUUGGAAGGGAUCUUAAAGAUCACUGAGCUCCAACACUCACACCACGAGCUGGGUCACCACUCACCACAUCAGGCUGCCCAAGGCCUCUUUCCAUGUAUAUAAUAUCACAUGUAUUCAAUAUAACAUGCAUGCUUUUUAAAACUCUAUUCUUUAUUGUAUGUCUAUGUAAAAAUAAGUCUACAGAAAACUCAAAGCCCUAUCAAGUAAUGUAGUCUAUUUUUUUUCUUCAAUCAACAAAAUAGAUUUAAGUUAUGCUUAAUUAAAAUCUUACCAGUGAUUAAAUAUAUUGUAAAAGACAAUCUAUAGUAAUAGACAAUUAAAAAACAAUUCUUUGGGUUCCUAUUUAUCUGCAAAGUGGCCUGAUUUGUCUGCUGUCCACAAAUGAAUAUGAGAGGCAAUCUAAUGA